UGCUCUUUGCUUGCGCAACAACUGUCGACCCCUCAUACGUUUCAUUUUUGCCCCAAAGAUUGAGCUUGCUCUUCUUGGUCACGACCCUUGGUUCCUGUGUUGCCUUCCCAUCGUAUGGAAAAAUUCGUCAGACAGCCCCGCACCUGUCCUCCUUGUGGCUUUGCGGCUGCAAUGCGGACCUCGAAAGCAGUCCCCACGUCCCGGACAUAUCCACUGACUCUUUGUUGUGGCUGUCUCGGUCCGCAGGACAACUGCUUGUGCUCCCGGAUGUGGAAAAUUAAGYGGACGUCGGGGGGGGUCUCGGCCUCCUGUUGCUCCAAUCAAGUCCCUCGAUAAGAAUGACUCUUGCUACCCCAUUGACCGCAGGCCGUCCAGGCCCGUGGCAUCGAUGYGGGUCCGAAGUCGAGAAAGAAUGCUACCUGGUUGAUCCUGCCAGUAGUCAUAUGCUUGUCUCAAAGAUUAAGCCMUGCAUGUGUAAGUA
rnacentral:misc_RNA from 1 species